rnacentral:lncRNA from 1 species
CCUGUGAAGUAUUCAAUAAAAAUCUAGCACUGUCUAAACAGGAAAAUAUCCUUUCUGUUCACUUCUUUCUUUUUUUUUUCUUUUCUUUUUUUUUCCCCCAGAAAUUAACAGUCUACAAAGGAUAAUGAGCUCAGUGAAUCUUAUUAACACAAGUUACAACUGACUGACAAAUCACUGCACAAAUGGCGAAGUGUUGCACUCAGGCAUGAAGAGAGUCAUUGAGCCCAACAGAAAAUGCUAGCAUUCAUUGCCAGAUGCACUGCUACUUCAAAAUCAGCCUGUCAUGUGGCCCCAGGGAUCCAAAGGUGAUGCAGAGAAAAAAUGCAUUGGUUCUGGAGGUUCCAUACUGUUUGAACUGAUUUUCCUGAGGCUAACUAUGACAGUUUUAGGACUUCAGUAUUUAGGAUCCUUAGGACAGGUUUCUGUAUCAUGUUUCUACUUCAUACUCCUCCAAUUGAAGCACUGAAAAUAGUUGUCCUUGAAGG